rnacentral:rRNA from 1 species
AUUGAACGCUGGCGGCAGGCUUAACACAUGCAAGUCGAGCGGGGUGAUGGUGCUUGCACUAUCACUUAGCGGCGGACGGGUGAGUAAUGCUUAGGAAUCUGCCUAUUAGUGGGGGACAACAUCUCGAAAGGGAUGCUAAUACCGCAUACGUCCUACGGGAGAAAGCAGGGGAUCACUUGUGACCUUGCGCUAAUAGAUGAGCCUAAGUCGGAUUAGCUAGUUGGUGGGGUAAAGGCCUACCAAGGCGACGAUCUGUAGCGGGUUUGAGAGGAUGAGCCGCCACACUGGGACUGAGACACGGGCCAGACGCCUACGGGAGGCAGCAGUGGGGAGUAUUGGACAAUGGGGGGAACCCUGAUCCAGCCAUGCCGCGUGUGUGAAGAAGGCCUUAUGGUUGUAAAGCACUUUAAGCGAGGAGGAGGCUCUUUUGGUUAAUACCCAAGAUGAGUGGACGUUACUCGCAGAAUAAGCACCGGCUAACUCUGUGCCAGCCGCCGCCGUAA